GGGCAGACACGCCAGCUUUUCCAGGGCAGGCUCGGGAAAGCCUCCACAGCACUGGCCCACGGCCACCCUGCCUGGAGCUGGGAUCCAGGCAGCCCCGGGAGGCGAAGCUGGGUCACCCCAGGUCAGGACACCCGAGGCUGCUCCUCUUACCUGACGCUGAGGCCAAAGGUGGCUGUGCUGGGCCAAGGGUCUGGUCACGAUCCCCUGCUCAGGCAGAGAGGCGCCAAUGCCACUCCCGACUCAAUACACCCAACUGGCUACUCGACAGCCCCAGUCGGACGUCACGGGCAUGGCAAGCCUAGCACGUCCGAAACCGGACUUCAGAUCUCUCAGACCUGCCGGUUCCACAUUCUUCCUCAUCUCCUGUUAUGGUUCCCCCAUCCUCCCAGGCCCUAAACCUGGGAGUCUCUCCUGACUCCUCACCUUCUCUUGCUUCUCCUAUCUGGUUCAUGAACAAAUCUACAGGCUCUAAUUUUGAAAUGUUUCUAGAAUUCAACUGUCUGACUAUCUCUGCUACCAUCACUCCGGCCCAGGCUUUGUUGUAUCUUCUCGGGAUUACUAAAAUAGCUUCCUCGCUGGCCUACCUGCGUCUGCCACUGCCCCCAUUCUCAACACAGUCCCCAGAUGAGCCUGUUCAAACAGAGGUCAGAACAAAUGAGCAAGCCACGGCUUUACUCAGAACGCCAAAAAGGAUCCCCAGAUCACUGAGAACAUGCCCCGCAGUUUCCUACAUGAUCUGGCUCUCCCUUACUGCUCCAACCUCAUAAUAAAAAUCGCUUUUUACACCCACUCCAACCACACUGGCUUCCUCACUAUUUCACAGACACAUCAAGCAUGCAUCUACCUCAGGGCCUUUGUACUUGCUGCUUUCUAUGCCCGGAAUGCCCUCAGCCCAGAGUUCUUUGUAGGUUGCUCUCCCAGUCUAAGUCUUAACUUAAAUCACCUUUUUGGCAUGGCAUUCGCACCCCCACACUACCUUUCAUACCCCUCUCCCAUACUCUGUGGCCCCAUUCUCUUCCUUACUUUUUCUCCUUAGUGCACAUGUACAUACUCGUUAAUCUGUUAAUGCCUUUCUCUCCCACGAAACUGUAUGCUCCACGAGUGCAAGGAAUUCUGGCCUACAAAUUUCUUCACUGCCACCCAGAACAGUGACUGACAACGAACAGGUACACAAUAUACGUGAUAAAUAACUGAAUAUAUGAAUGAGCCACGGGACACUGGGCAUCCUGGCAUAGCAGGCAUUUCUGGCUCUGCAGACACAGCAGCCACUAUUCAUUAUCCAGUCGAUACCCCCUUUCCCCUCUCAGCACAACUCUCACUUGACACGGGGCACUAAACGUGCCCACGAAAACAGACUCCCUGUACGGAGCCUGAGCGGCCAUUAGACCCAGUUUCAAUCAACAAAUGUCUACAACGUGGCCAAAGGCUAUCCACUUCCUGGGGGACAGACCCAGCUAUGGCUCCCGCCCUUUUUCCUUUCCCCUCCCUCCCGACUGGAACUCAAACCCGAUGCUCACAAGUGAGGCAGCCAACUUCUGACCAGGUAGCUGGAAGUCCCAAUGCAAUCAGUUUGUGGCCCAAACCAUAUCCCGAACUGCGAGGCCUCUGUGCCCAGGCAUGCCAGUCAACCAGUCAACCACUUUUUGGUUAAGUCCUUGUAGUACAGUCUCCCCUGCACGCCACGUAGAGCAACGCCAACUUGACACGUAGGUCAAAGGUGAGAAGAGAGACGUAGAGGAAGGCAAACCCUGCUGUGCGUGAAUGUUACGGUGCAAUCCGAUUGCUGGUAAGAACUGGUGCCGUGGGGUCUUCGUCCAUCUGUCCGUCUUCUUCUCCCACCUGCCCCGUCCCCUCCCCCUCGACCCCACAGUGAUCCUAACUCGUUCGCCCUUUUCCAUGAUAACUCUAUACAGAAUCAAAGACUCUAAGCAGUAGGAAGAGAGGGCCUCCACUAAAAAGUUCUCUUCCAAAAGGGCACUAGAAGCUGAGCUCAUCCUUGGAAAUGCCUCAUGUUGGAUAGCUGAGUUUUAUGAAUUGGUGGGGGUUUUUUUCACCUUAAAAUAGCAAAACUCUUUAUUUUAAACCUUUAAGCAAAAUUGUGAAAAUCUAGCAUACGUUUCUGUAUAUUUUAAAACAAAGGAUUCGAAACAUAGUAAUUUUCAGGACGAUGGCUCAAGGCCGUUAAGUACCAAGAUAAAUGGAAUUUUGAUUUGGAAAAGACCUUAGAGAUCAAUUCUAAUGCAACUGCCUUCUUCUGAAACCUCAGGGAAGACUGUUACACUCGCCCAGUUACUCAGCAGGUGAAUUUCCACCGUGAGCCAUCGACGCAGGAUCAGAAAUACAGUGAUUCCCUCCAGUUAGAUGAGCUUAUGAAAAGUCUGCGAAUAUUCUGCAAGAGCAAAUAACAUCUCGGGGGAGCGCGUCAGUGCAAAGAUCUCCAACUAUGGCCUCUGUCAUACAUAUACGUCAUUUCCUCCUGUGCCUUUGGGGACAGGUGAUUUUCUACUUCUCAACACUCUACCGUGUGGGGGCAGGGGAGGUGGAUCCACGCAGCCUGGAAAAGCUUGGAGAUCACUACCAUAACCCAUUCCAAGCCCCUGACCUCCUCACUGCCACUUACGUGAAUAACAUCUAGCUCAAGGUCCAUCCACAUCAAGAGCAAAAUUCUGAAAAAAAACUUUCUGAAAAUUCUGAAAAAAAACAUUCCACCCUCACAGUGACCCUUGCUACCUCUUACCAUGUCAAGUUUUCCUUUUACAUGUUCGUUAUCCUCUCAGACAUGCAUGUCUUAGCACGAGUUUUCAUUUUAGGUAAGGAGACUUCCUCCUCCAGGAAGCUUAUUAAUUCUUCUUCAGUUUCCCCUUUGUAUUCCCAACAGCACUUUGCAUGUGGGAGAAAAUAUUUUAUAUGCCCCCUACUCUUUCAUAUCUACUUCGAUCUGAUAUUCAGUAGAAAAAAUCGUUUCUGGAAUCCUGACGAAACCUAGGUUUGAAUUUCACAUGACCUUGUGCAUGUCUCCUAACCUCUCUGAACCUGAAAUUCUCCGUGAGAAAAGAGACAGUAGAAUUAACCUACAAUGUGAUCGUCCAGAGGAAUGUAUGACCUAGCCACAGCAGCUAGGCAAUGGAAAGAAAUAAAAGGCAUUCAAAUUGAAAAGGAAAAAGUAAAACUGUCUCUAUUGGCAGAUGACAUGAUACUAUAUAUAGAAAGCUCUUAAGUCUCCACCAAAAAAAAUAUUUUUUUUAAGUUUAUUUGUUUAUUUUGAGAAAGAGAGAGAAAGCACAAGUCAGGGAAGGGCAGAGAGAGGGAGAGAGAGAGAAGCCCAAGCAGGCUCUGAGCUAUCAGCGCAGAGCCUGAUGCGGGCCUUGGAAUUCACAAACCAUGAGAUCCUGACCUGAGCCAAAGUCAGAUGCUUAACUGACGGAGCCACCCAGGCACCC